rnacentral:rRNA from 1 species
AUUGAACGCUGGCGGCAGGCUUAACACAUGCAAGUCGAGCGGGGGAAGGUAGCUUGCUACCGGACCUAGCGGCGGACGGGUGAGUAAUGCGUAGGAAUCUGCCUAUUAGUGGGGGACAACAUCUCGAAAGGGAUGCUAAUACCGCAUACGUCCUACGGGAGAAAGCAGGGGAUCGUCUGAACUUGCGCUAAUAGAUGGGACUAAGUCGGAUUAGCUAAUUGGGAGGGUAAAGUCCUAACAGGGGGACGAUCCGUAGCGGGUCUGAGAGGAUGAUCCGCCAAACUGGGACUGAGACACGGCCCAGACUCCUACGGGAAGCAGCAGUGGGGAAGAUUGGACAAUGGGGGGAACCCUGAUCCAGCCAUGCCGCGUGUGUGAAGAAGGCCUUAUGGUUGUAAAGCACUUUAAGCGAGGAGGAGGCUACUUUAGUUAAUACCUAGAGAUAGUGGACGUUACUCGCAGAAUAAGCACCGGCUAACUCUGUGCCAGCCGCCGCCGUAA